rfam:Schistosoma mansoni, Puerto Rico, WGS project CABG01000000 data, contig: 0309
GUCAGGAUGGCCGAGUGGUCCAAGACGCUGCGUUCAGGUCGCAGUCCAAACUGUUGGCGUGGGUUCGGAUCCCACUCCUGACA